rnacentral:tRNA from 1 species
GGGCCAGUGGCGCAAUGGAUAACUGACUACGGAUCAGAAGAUUCUAGGUUCGACUCCUGGCUGGCUCG